ensembl:lncRNA
AUCUUCACACGUCUAUUGACAUUCAUUCACAUUUCCUUUGGGUUACUGUUUAAAAACAUGAACGUACUUCAGAUGUUAUUUCUCAUUGCCUAUCCUCUUUUGCUGUGAUGCGUCGGCCUUCUCAGUUGAAAACUGACAAUGGCCCAGCUUAUAUUAGUAAGGAAUUUCAAACAUUUUGCAAGAAAUGGAAUAUUACUUUAGUGCAUGGAAUUCCUUACAACUCUCAGGGUCAAGCUAUAGUUAAGCGAGCUCAUCGUACUUUUAAGGCAUUGCUUCAAAAACAAUUACAAACUGAGUCUGGUCCUUACCAUCUGCGAAAGAUUCAAAAUCUCAUUGCUGUAGCAUUAUAUACUUGGAAUUAUUUAACCUUUUUAGAUUCUCUUGCAGACUCACCUGUUAAUUUGCAUUUUCAAACUACUGAAUCUUUAGCAAGGCCUUUGGUAAAGUAUCGCCAAGCUACAGAUCCAACCUGGAAACGCCCUACACUGCUGAUCACCUGGGGUUGUGGUUAUGCUGCCAUGGAAGAUCCUUCUACUGGACAAGCAGUGUGGGUUCCAGCGCGUUGUGUUUGUUUGUAUCAUGGCAUGGCAUCAGGGCCUUCACAACCUGAUUCUGGAUUUCAAUCUUCAUCUGAACACAGAAGUCCGGCUUCCAAGGUUGAAGCGCCCGCAACCCAUCACUUGGGGCCAGGUUAAAUCUACUACAUAUCAAGCUCAACAACAACUGCAACAGGCCUCAUUACCUCAGACUCCUGAAAAUCUUGUUGCUGCUGUUUUUGCUAUUAUUACUGCUAAUUCUGUUACAAUUUUACUUUGUAUUUUCUUGUUUAUGGUUAAUGGUGUUUCUGCUCAAAAUGACACUUCUGUGGUUCGUCUUAACCCUAAUUUGUGGGUUCGUCAUGCACAAUAUAUGUUUAUGACCCAUGGCACAAAUAUUACUUUAUACUAUGAGCCCCCAAUGGCAUUUGGUCAAAUUUCUUUUACCCCUAACUUGAUCAUGUCUUCUACAUUUAUUGUCUCACAACUACAAUCUAUUUCACACUCCUGGCUAUUUUCUAAACCCCCUAUGCAAUUGAAUUCUGUCCGUUGGCGUUAUUUGAAAGUUAGUCAAUUUACAAGGGGUCUGUGUUUCUGUUGUCACGCUAAACAUACCUGGCUUUAUAAUUGGUCUGAUUAUGAUGCUGCUCAGCACAUAUUAAAACAACUAGGGAAUUAUAGUUAUUGUUCUAACUACUAUUGGUUGUCAGGUACCUUUAAUUCUUCUUUGUAUGGACUUAAUAUAGCUCCUGAUAUGUAUCCUGACAAUUUUCCUAUUUUUAAUGUGAUUCUUUUUUUGAUAAAUAUGCCACUAAUGUUCAUCCUCAGAAUUUUUCAUUCUUUGAAUAAAACUAUUGAGGAUGAGCUUGCCAAUUUACAAUCAUACAUUCAAAAUAAUAUCCAUGCUCAGUACUCACCUUUUGAGUGGCUAACCAAUUGGCUUCCUGAUUGGUCUUGGCUCAGACAGUUUUCCUUUUAUGCUAUAAUUAUUAUUGUAUUAAUUGUAACCUGUUGUUUUAUUCAUUGUAUUCCAAAUUUAUUUGCAUUGUUUUGUCCUGCUUUCCUCUCUCUUAAUCCUCUACAAUUGAGAUAUAUUCAUAAAUCUUUGAAUCCUCCAUUUAAAAUAAAAAAUGAGGAUAUGUAGAGUUGUAAUUGCAGGAACGCUCUUAUCUUGGAUGGCAAACCUCAGA